rnacentral:rRNA from 1 species
UACGUAGGGUGCAAGCGUUAAUCGGAAUUACUGGGCGUAAAGCGUGCGCAGGCGGUAUUGUAAGUUUGUCGUGAAAGCCCCGGGCUCAACCUGGGAAUGGCGAUGAAGACUGCAAGGCUUGAAUCUGGCAGAGGGGGGUAGAAUUCCACGUGUAGCAGUGAAAUGCGUAGAGAUGUGGAGGAGCACCGAUGGCGAAGGCAGCCCCCUGGGUCAAGAUUGACGCUCAUGCACGAAAGCGUGGGGAGCAAACAGG